rnacentral:rRNA from 1 species
CCUACGGGAGGCAGCAGUGGGGAAUUUUGGACAAUGGGGGCAACCCUGAUCCAGCAAUGCCGCGUGAGUGAAGAAGGCCUUCGGGUUGUAAAGCUCUUUUGUCAGGGAAGAAACGGGUGGGGCUAAUAUCCUCAUCUAAUGACGGUACCUGAAGAAUAAGCACCGGCUAACUACGUGCCAGCAGCCGCGGUAAUACGUAGGGUGCAAGCGUUAAUCGGAAUUACUGGGCGUAAAGCGUGCGCAGGCGGUUAUGUAAGUCAGAUGUGAAAUCCCCGGGCUCAACCUGGGAACUGCAUUUGAGACUGCAUGGCUAGAGUGUGUCAGAGGGGGGUAGAAUUCCACGUGUAGCAGUGAAAUGCGUAGAUAUGUGGAGGAAUACCGAUGGCGAAGGCAGCCCCCUGGGAUAACACUGACGCUCAUGCACGAAAGCGUGGGGAGCAAACAGGAUUAGAUACCCUGGUAGUCCACGCCCUAAACGAUGUCUACUAGUUGUCGGGACUUAAUUGUCUUGGUAACGCAGCUAACGCGUGAAGUAGACCGCCUGGGGAUCGGUCGCAAGNUUAAAACUCAAAGUAUAGUCGGAGNGAGAGAGACGACGACGACGACGAGGAGGGAGGAGG